AGCGAACGCUGGCGGCAGGCUUAACACAUGCAAGUCGAGCGGGCAUCCUUGUGGUGUCAGCGGCAGACGGGUGAGUAACGCGUGGGAACGUGCCCUUCGGUUCGGAAUAACUCAGGGAAACUUGAGCUAAUACCGGAUACGUGCGAGAGCAGAAAGGUUUAUCUGCCGAAGGAUCGGCCCGCGUCUGAUUAGCUAGUUGGUGAGGUUAUGGCUCACCAAGGCGACGAUCAGUAGCUGGUCUGAGAGGAUGAUCAGCCACACUGGGACUGAGACACGGCCCAGAAUCCUACGGGAGGCAGCAGUGGGGAAUAUUGGACAAUGGGGGCAACCCUGAUCCAGCCAUGCCGCGUGAGUGAUGACGGCCUUAGGGUUGUAAAGCUCUUUUCUCCGGGACGAUAAUGACGGUACCGGAGGAAUAAGCCCCGGCUAACUUCGUG
rnacentral:rRNA from 1 species